rnacentral:snRNA from 1 species
GCAUUGCGAUGGUCCCUGCGGAUGCU